UGGGGAAUAUUGCACAAUGGAGGGAACUCUGAUGCAGCGACGCCGCGUGAACGAAGAAGGCUUUCGAGUCGUAAAGUUCUCUUAUAUGGGAAGAUAAUGACGGUACCAUAAGAAAAAGCCCCGGCUAACUACGUGCCAGCAGCCGCGGUAAUACGUAGGGGGCUAGCGUUGUCCGGAAUCACUGGGCGUAAAGGGUUCGCAGGCGGAAAUGCAAGUCAGGUGUAAAAGGCAGUAGCUUAACUACUGUAAGCAUUUGAAACUGCAUAUCUUGAGAAGAGUAGAGGUAAGUGGAAUUUUUAGUGUAGCAGUGAAAUGCGUAGAUAUUAAAAAGAAUACCAGUGGCGAAGGCGACUUACUGGGCUCAUUCUGACGCUGAGGAACGAAAGCGUGGGUAGCAAACAGG
rnacentral:rRNA from 1 species